CGCUCACAUGUUUAACAGAUAUUGUUUGCAAACUUUUGGAUUGUCGUACGCUUCAUGUCGGAAUAUCCUUUACAAAGCUUGGAUCUGAAAAGCUGCUGAUAUAUGGGGAAGAAACAGACUCCAUUUCCUCAUUUUGUCUUCUGGUAAGAGCUGUACCAACUAUGAAUUGCGUGAUGAUUUCAACUUGCGAUAACACUACCGGCAGCAUCUGAUCGCUGAAGGCAUACAUGCAAGUUUCUGAGCAUGAGCUGUGCUGUGUCAAACUCCAGCGAUGUUAGAAAGAAGAAAGGACAACCACUGAGCCAGAGAGAUUGGAAAAACAGAGCCAGGGAAAUCCUCGGCACUCCUGAUUUCCAUGGCCUGACUGCCUGCUGUCCACUACACAAUGUUAUUAUUAGUAUAGCUGAUCCAAGACAAUGAUGAUGGUGGCGAACUUCAGAAGAUCCACUGUGUUCAGUGGAACGUAUAUAGAGAAGAAGCAGAAGUGCUUGGAACACAUGAGGACUUGGGGGUGCAUCUAGUGAACCGGUUGGAGAGGACCUGCAACAUUCACGCUCUGUACAAGGGUGAGAGUCACCAUAAUUUUCUGAAGAGCCCCAGGUCUUUUGGAAGUAAGCAGAUCACUGCUGUAGAAGUGCUAUCCCUGUGGUCUGUUUCAGUGCAGGGAUUAAACUAUAUUUAUUUACAUUUACAUCUUUUCCUUUAGCAGACACUUUCCAAAAAACAACAUACACCUCAGAGGACAAUACGAAGAGCAC
rnacentral:lncRNA from 1 species